GACGAACGCUGGCGGCGUGCCUAAUACAUGCAAGUCGAACGCUGAAGGAGGAGCUUGCUUCUCCGGAUGAGUUGCGAACGGGUGAGUAACGCGUAGGUAACCUGCCUGGUAGCGGGGGAUAACUAUUGGAAACGAUAGCUAAUACCGCAUAAGAGUAGAUGUUGCAUGACAUUUGCUUAAAAGGUGCAAUUGCAUCACUACCAGAUGGACCUGCGUUGUAUUAGCUAGUUGGUGGGGUAACGGCUUACCAAGGCGACGAUACAUAGCCGACCUGAGAGGGUGAUCGGCCACACUGGGACUGAGACACGGCCCAGACUACUACGGGAGGCAGCAGUAGGGAAUCUUCGGCAAUGGACGGAAGUCUGACCGAGCAACGCCGCGUGAGUGAAGAAGGGUUUCGGAUCGUAAAGCUCUGUUGUAAGAGAAGAACGAGUGUGAGAGUGGAAAGUUCACACUGUGACGGUAUCUUACCAGAAAGGGACGGCUAACUACGUG
rnacentral:rRNA from 1 species